UUAAGUUAUUAAGGGCGCACGGUGGAUGCCUUGGCACUAGAAGCCGAUGAAGGACGUUACUAACGACGAUAUGCUUUGGGGAGCUGUAAGUAAGCUUUGAUCCAGAGAUUUCCGAAUGGGGAAACCCAGCAUGAGUUAUGUCAUGUUAUCGAUAUGUGAAUACAUAGCAUAUCAGAAGGCACACCCGGAGAACUGAAACAUCUUAGUACCCGGAGGAAGAGAAAGAAAAUUCGAUUCCCUUAGUAGCGGCGAGCGAAAUGGGAAGAGCCCAAACCAACAAGUUUGCUUGUUGGGGUUGUAGGACACUCUAUACGGAGUUACAAAGGACGACAUUAGACGAAUCAUCUGGAAAGAUGAAUCAAAGAAGGUAAUAAUCCUGUAGUCGAAAAUGUUGUCUCUCUUGAGUGGAUCCUGAGUACGACGGAGCACGUGAAAUUCCGUCGGAAUCUGGGAGGACCAUCUCCUAAGGCUAAAUACUCUCUAGUGACCGAUAGUGAACCAGUACCGUGAGGGAAAGGUGAAAAGCACCCCGGAAGGGGAGUGAAAUAGAACCUGAAACCGUGUGCUUACAAGUAGUCAGAGCCCGUUAAUGGGUGAUGGCGUGCCUUUUGUAGAAUGAACCGGCGAGUUACGAUUUGAUGCAAGGUUAAGCAGUAAAUGUGGAGCCGUAGCGAAAGCGAGUCUGAAUAGGGCGUUUAGUAUUUGGUCGUAGACCCGAAACCAGGUGAUCUACCCUUGGUCAGGUUGAAGUUCAGGUAACACUGAAUGGAGGACCGAACCGACUUACGUUGAAAAGUGAGCGGAUGAACUGAGGGUAGCGGAGAAAUUCCAAUCGAACCUGGAGAUAGCUGGUUCUCUCCGAAAUAGCUUUAGGGCUAGCCUCAAGUGAUGAUUAUUGGAGGUAGAGCACUGUUUGGACGAGGGGCCCCUCUCGGGUUACCGAAUUCAGACAAACUCCGAAUGCCAAUUAAUUUAACUUGGGAGUCAGAACAUGGGUGAUAAGGUCCGUGUUCGAAAGGGAAACAGCCCAGACCACCAGCUAAGGUCCCAAAAUAUAUGUUAAGUGGAAAAGGAUGUGGCGUUGCCCAGACAACUAGGAUGUUGGCUUAGAAGCAGCCAUCAUUUAAAGAGUGCGUAAUAGCUCACUAGUCGAGUGACACUGCGCCGAAAAUGUACCGGGGCUAAACAUAUUACCGAAGCUGUGGAUUGUCCUUUGGACAAUGGUAGGAGAGCGUUCUAAGGGCGUUGAAGCAUGAUCGUAAGGACAUGUGGAGCGCUUAGAAGUGAGAAUGCCGGUGUGAGUAGCGAAAGACGGGUGAGAAUCCCGUCCACCGAUUGACUAAGGUUUCCAGAGGAAGGCUCGUCCGCUCUGGGUUAGUCGGGUCCUAAGCUGAGGCCGACAGGCGUAGGCGAUGGAUAACAGGUUGAUAUUCCUGUACCACCUAUAAUCGUUUUAAUCGAUGGGGGGACGCAGUAGGAUAGGCGAAGCGUGCGAUUGGAUUGCACGUCUAAGCAGUAAGGCUGAGUAUUAGGCAAAUCCGGUACUCGUUAAGGCUGAGCUGUGAUGGGGAGAAGACAUUGUGUCUUCGAGUCGUUGAUUUCACACUGCCGAGAAAAGCCUCUAGAUAGAAAAUAGGUGCCCGUACCGCAAACCGACACAGGUAGUCAAGAUGAGAAUUCUAAGGUGAGCGAGCGAACUCUCGUUAAGGAACUCGGCAAAAUGACCCCGUAACUUCGGGAGAAGGGGUGCUCUUUAGGGUUAACGCCCAGAAGAGCCGCAGUGAAUAGGCCCAAGCGACUGUUUAUCAAAAACACAGGUCUCUGCUAAACCGUAAGGUGAUGUAUAGGGGCUGACGCCUGCCCGGUGCUGGAAGGUUAAGAGGAGUGGUUAGCUUCUGCGAAGCUACGAAUCGAAGCCCCAGUAAACGGCGGCCGUAACUAUAACGGUCCUAAGGUAGCGAAAUUCCUUGUCGGGUAAGUUCCGACCCGCACGAAAGGCGUAACGAUUUGGGCACUGUCUCAACGAGAGACUCGGUGAAAUCAUAGUACCUGUGAAGAUGCAGGUUACCCGCGACAGGACGGAAAGACCCCGUGGAGCUUUACUGUAGCCUGAUAUUGAAAUUCGGCACAGCUUGUACAGGAUAGGUAGGAGCCUUUGAAACGUGAGCGCUAGCUUACGUGGAGGCGCUGGUGGGAUACUACCCUAGCUGUGUUGGCUUUCUAACCCGCACCACUUAUCGUGGUGGGAGACAGUGUCAGGCGGGCAGUUUGACUGGGGCGGUCGCCUCCUAAAAGGUAACGGAGGCGCUCAAAGGUUCCCUCAGAAUGGUUGGAAAUCAUUCAUAGAGUGUAAAGGCAUAAGGGAGCUUGACUGCGAGACCUACAAGUCGAGCAGGGUCGAAAGACGGACUUAGUGAUCCGGUGGUUCCGCAUGGAAGGGCCAUCGCUCAACGGAUAAAAGCUACCCCGGGGAUAACAGGCUUAUCUCCCCCAAGAGUUCACAUCGACGGGGAGGUUUGGCACCUCGAUGUCGGCUCAUCGCAUCCUGGGGCUGUAGUCGGUCCCAAGGGUUGGGCUGUUCGCCCAUUAAAGCGGUACGCGAGCUGGGUUCAGAACGUCGUGAGACAGUUCGGUCCCUAUCCGUCGUGGGCGUAGGAAAUUUGAGAGGAGCUGUCCUUAGUACGAGAGGACCGGGAUGGACAUACCUCUGGUGUACCAGUUGUCGUGCCAACGGCAUAGCUGGGUAGCUAUGUGUGGACGGGAUAAGUGCUGAAAGCAUCUAAGCAUGAAGCCCCCCUCAAGAUGAGAUUUCCCAACUUCGGUUAUAAGAUCCCUCAAAGAUGAUGAGGUUAAUAGGUUCGAGGUGGAAGCAUGGUGACAUGUGGAGCUGACGAAUACUAAUCGAUCGAAGACUUAAUCAA
rnacentral:rRNA from 6 species